UCAGGUGGCCGCAGAGAAUAGGCCCAAGCGACUGUUUACCAAAAACAUAGGUUUCUGCUAAGUCGCAAGACGAUGUAUAGGAGCUGACGCCUGCCCGGUGCUGGAAGGUUAAGGGGAUCUGUUAGAGUAAUCGAAGCAGUGAACUUAAGCCCCAGUAAACGGCGGCCGUAACUAUAACGGUCCUAAGGUAGCGAAAUUCCUUGUCGGGUAAGUUCCGACCCGCACGACAGGCGUAACGAUUUGGGCACUGUCUCAACAACAGACUCGGUGAAAUUGUAAUUCCGGUGAAGAUGCCGGAUACCUGCGACAGGACGGAAAGACCCCAUGGAGCUUUACUGUAGCUUGACAUUGGGUCUUGGUACUACAUGUACAGGAUAGGUGGGAGGCUUUGAAACCAGGACGCCAGUUUUGGCGGAGCCAUCCUUGGGAUACCACCCUUGUAGUACUGGGACUCUAACCAUAGGCCAUGAAUCUGGUCUUGGGACACUGUCAGGUGGGCAG
rnacentral:rRNA from 1 species